rnacentral:rRNA from 1 species
GGGACAGUUGCCUCUAGAGAUAGAGCCUUCCCCUUCGGGGGACAAAGUGACAGGUGGUGCAUGGUUGUCGUCAGCUCGUGUCGUGAGAUGUUGGGUUAAGUCCCGCAACGAGCGCAACCCUUAAGCUUAGUUGCCAUCAUUAAGUUGGGCACUCUAAGUUGACUGCCGGUGACAAACCGGAGGAAGGUGGGGAUGACGUCAAAUCAUCAUGCCCCUUAUGAUUUGGGCUACACACGUGCUACAAUGGACAAUACAAAGGGCAGCGAAACCGCGAGGUCAAGCAAAUCCCAUAAAGUUGUUCUCAGUUCGGAUUGUAGUCUGCAACUCGACUACAUGAAGCUGGAAUCGCUAGUAAUCGUAGAUCAGCAUGCUACGGUGAAUACGUUCCCGGGUCUUGUACACACCGAA